GUUGUGUGUAAGGGAUGCAUUGUGUGAAUCUGUGUUUGUAUGCAUAAGGGAUGCAAGGUGUGUGUCUGUAUGUGUGUGCAUGAGAUGAAUUGUGUUUCUGUGUGUAUGUAAGAAAAUAAGUGUGUGUGUUUGCAUGCGUGUGUACGGGUUUGCAUUGUCUGUUUCUGUGUAUGUGUGCAAAGGAUGCAUUGUCUUUGUGUGUAAG